UACGUAGGGAGCAAGCGUUGUCCGGAAUCAUUGGGCGUAAAGCGCGCGUAGGCGGCUCGAUCAGUCUGUUGUGAAAGUCAAAGGCUCAACCUUUGAAUGCCGAUGGAUACUGUCGAGCUAGAGUCCGGAAGAGGCGAGUGGAAUUCCUGGUGUAGCGGUGGAAUGCGCAGAUAUCAGGAGGAACACCAACGGCGAAGGCAGCUCGCUGGGACGGUACUGACGCUCAUGCACGAAAGCGUGGGGAGCAAACAGG
rnacentral:rRNA from 1 species